AGAGUUUGAUCCUGGCUCAGGACGAACGCUGGCGGUGUGCCUCACACAUGCAAGUCGAACGGGGUAGCAAUACCCAGUGGCGGACGGGUGAGUAACGCGUGGGAAUCUGCCUUUAGAUGGGGGAUAGCAAACCGAAAGGUUUAUUAAUACCGCAUAUGUAUGUAUCUCGACAGAGGUAUUUAUGAAAGGAGCAAUCCGUCUGAAGAUGAGCCCGCGUCCGAUUAGCUAGUUGGUAAGGUAAAGGCUUACCAAGGCGACGAUCGGUAGGUGGUCUGAGAGGAUGAUCACCCACAAUGGGACUGAGACACGGCCCAUACUCCUACGGGAGGCAGCAGUGGGGAAUUUUGUGCAAUGGGCGAAAGCCUGACACAGCGACACCGCGUGAGCGAAGAAGCCCUUUGGGGUGUAAAGCUCUGUCGGCUGGAACGAAAAAAAUGACGGUACCAGCAAAGGAAGCAUCGGCUAACUACGUGCCAGCAGCCGCGGUAAGACGUAGGAUGCAAGCGUUGUCCGGAUUUAUUGGGCGUAAAGAGUUCGUAGGCGGUCUGUUAAGUCUGAUGUUAAAGAUCGGGGCUCAACCCCGGGAGUGCAUUGGAUACUGGCAGGCUGGAGUGCGGUAGAGGCGAGUGGAAUUCCCAGUGUAGCGGUGAAAUGCGUAGAUAUUGGGAAGAACACCAGUGGCGUAGGCGACUCGCUGGGCCGUAACUGACGCUGAGGAACGAAAGCCAGGGGAGCGAAUGGGAUUAGAUACCCUAGUAGUCC
rnacentral:rRNA from 1 species